rnacentral:rRNA from 1 species
UACGUAGGGGGCAAGCGUUGUCCGGAAUUAUUGGGCGUAAAGAGCGUGUAGGCGGCCAGAUAAGUCCGCUGUGAAAUCUCGAGGCUCAACUUCGAGCUGUCGGUGGAAACUAUCUGGCUAGAGUCCGGAAGAGGAGAAUGGAAUUCCUGGUGUAGCGGUGAAAUGCGUAGAUAUCAGGAGGAACACCGGUGGCGAAGGCGGCCUUCUGGACGGCUACUGACACUGAGACGCGAAAGCGUGGGGAGCAAACAGG